GAAAUUAAUACCCGUCUAAAAAUAACAUGUCAGCACACCUUACCCUAUACAUCUGAAAAGACAAAUAUGCCCCUGAAAAAUUUCUAACCCCCGCCUAAACACCAUUUUUCCCUAGCAAAAUCAAAACUCUCUUUCUCCUUCUCUGCUCUCUCUCUCACCGAACCACCAUCUGCUCUUUUUCUUUCUCUCAAGUCCAAAGCUCCACAGCCACUGCUUAGCAUCACCGCCGGAAAAAUUUUCAAACACUCGCCCUCUCUUGCUUUUCCCCUUUUUGCAAAAUCAAAAUAUUCAUCUCUUUCUCCCUCCGUUUCUCUCUACACCACCACAGCACACCAGCACCUCCAAGGCUCCGUCUUUUCUCUCUCAACUCCAAACCUUGACAGCUGCUGCCUAGCAUCGCCGCUGGAGAUAGAGAUACACUGCCGAUCAUCACCAGUUCCGACGAGACCGACUUUUGUCUCGUCGGAAAACGCCUAAAACUGUCUCUUUCUCGGUGUUUCCAACCACUAACACCGGAAGUAUUCUCACCACUUCUAACACCAAACGUUGUAGGAAGGGAUGGAUGUGAUGUUUUUUUUUUUGUUGUUUUUGCUGAAGGAAUUGAUUUUGAUAAAUAGCUUCUUCCUAAGAGUGUCCUCUAAGGGCACUGCAAAAAUUCUGGACGAAAAGCUCUUUUGGAUAGUAUUUUGGACAUUAUACUGCACAGCUAAUGGACAACAUUUUUGGACAGCAUUUUCAACAUUAUUGCACAGUGCAGGAACAUCUUAGAUAGUAUUUUUGACUUGCCAAUUUUUUAGAUAGCAUAACUGAAAAUUUGGACAAGUGAUUGCAUAGCCAAACACUAAUUAUUGUUGUCAUUUUGGAAAACUUUUGUAACUAAUGAAGUUACUCAAACAUGAUAGAUUUUGUGUAUGUUUGAGUAGACUAAUUAUAUGCAGAUGUUGAAAGUUUUUAAUGCAAUAGUACAUUUUAUUCUUUUA